UACGUAGGGGGCAAGCGUUGUCCGGAUUUAUUGGGCGUAAAGAGCUCGUAGGCGGCUUGGCAAGUCGGGUGUGAAACCUCCAGGCUCAACCUGGAGACGCCACUCGAUACUGCUAUGGCUAGAGUCCGGUAGGGGACCACGGAAUUCCUGGUGUAGCGGUGAAAUGCGCAGAUAUCAGGAGGAACACCGGUGGCGAAGGCGGUGGUCUGGGCCGGCACUGACGCUGAGGAGCGAAAGCGUGGGUAGCAAACAGG
rnacentral:rRNA from 1 species